GGACGCUUAGCUCAGUUGGUUAGAGCACCUGCCUUACAAGCAGGGGGUCAUAGGUUCGAGUCCUAUAGCGUCCA
rnacentral:tRNA from 1 species